GCGCCCUCCCGAAGGUUAAGCUACCUACUUCUUUUGCAACCCACUCCCAUGGUGUGACGGGCGGUGUGUACAAGGCCCGGGAACGUAUUCACCGUAGCAUUCUGAUCUACGAUUACUAGCGAUUCCGACUUCAUGGAGUCGAGUUGCAGACUCCAAUCCGGACUACGACGCACUUUAUGAGGUCCGCUUGCUCUCGCGAGGUCGCUUCUCUUUGUAUGCGCCAUUGUAGCACGUGUGUAGCCCUACUCGUAAGGGCCAUGAUGACUUGACGUCAUCCCCACCUUCCUCCAGUUUAUCACUGGCAGUCUCCUUUGAGUUCCCGGCCGAACCGCUGGCAACAAAGGAUAAGGGUUGCGCUCGUUGCGGGACUUAACCCAACAUUUCACAACACGAGCUGACGACAGCCAUGCAGCACCUGUCUCAGAGUUCCCGAAGGCACCAAUCCAUCUCUGGAAAGUUCUCUGGAUGUCAAGAGUAGGUAAGGUUCUUCGCGUUGCAUCGAAUUAAACCACAUGCUCCACCGCUUGUG
rnacentral:rRNA from 1 species